CGUCCUACGGGGGGCAGCAGUGAGGAAUAUUGCACAAUGGACGCAAGUCUGAUGCAGCAACGCCGCGUGGAGGAUGAAGGUCUUUGGAUUGUAAACUCCUUUUCUCAGGGAAGAGAAUGGACGGUACCUGAGGAAUAAGUCACGGCUAACUACGUGCCAGCAGCCGCGGUAAUACGUAGGUGGCAAGCGUUAUCCGGAAUUACUGGGCGUAAAGCGCACGCAGGCGGUCUUUUAAGUUUGACGUGAAAGCUCCCGGCUUAACUGGGAGAGGUCGUUGAAGACUGGAAGACUUGAGGCAAGGAGAGGGGUGUAGAAUUCCCGGUGUAGGGGUGGAAUGCGUAGAUAUCGGGGGGAAUACCAGUGGCGAAAGCGGCACCCUAGCGUUGUUCUGACGCUCAUGUGCGAAAGCGUGGGGAGCGAACGGGAUUAGAUACCCUAGUAGUCU
rnacentral:rRNA from 1 species